rnacentral:rRNA from 1 species
GACGAACGCUGGCGGCGUGCUUAACACAUGCAAGUCGAACGGAAAGGCCCUGCUUUUGUGGGGUGCUCGAGUGGCGAACGGGUGAGUAACACGUGAGUAACCUGCCCUUGACUUUGGGAUAACUUCAGGAAACUGGGGCUAAUACCGGAUAGGAGCUCCUGCUGCAUGGUGGGGGUUGGAAAGUUUCGGCGGUUGGGGAUGGACUCGCGGCUAAUCAGCUUGUUGGUGGGGUAGUUGCUUACCAAGGCUUUGACGGGUAGCCGGCCUGAGAGGGUGACCGGCCACAUUGGGACUGAGAUACGGCCCAGACUCCUACGGGAGGCAGCAGUGGGGAAUAUUGCACAAUGGGCGGAAGCCUGAUGCAGCAACGCCGCGUGCGGGAUGACGGCCUUCGGGUUGUAAACCGCUUUCGCCUGUGACGAAGCGUGAGUGACGGUAAUGGGUAAAGAAGCACCGGCUAACUACGUG